rnacentral:ribozyme from 1 species
GCUGCUCGAAACUUUGCACACCUCUCCGUGGUGAGCAGCAGGCAACGAUCAUAUGUGUGAUCGGCUAAGAAUGCAGAG